AUUGAACGCUGGCGGCAGGCUUAACACAUGCAAGUCGAGCGAGCGGCGGACGGGUGAGUAAUGUCUGGGAAACUGCCUGAUGGAGGGGGAUAACUACUGGAAACGGUAGCUAAUACCGCAUACUAUCGGAUGAACCCAUAUGGGAUUAGCUAGUAGGUGGGGUAAAGGCUCACCUAGGCGACGAUCCCUAGCUGGUCUGAGAGGAUGAUCGGUCAAACUGUGACUGAGAGAAGGCCCAAAGUCCGACGGGAGGCAGCAGUGGGGAAUAGUGCAAAAUGGGCGCAAGCCUGAUGGAGCCAUGCCGCGUGUAGGAAGAAGGCCUUAGGGUUGUAAAGUACUUUCAGCGGGGAGGCGUUACCCGCAGAAGAAGCACCGGCUAACUCCGUGCCAGCAGCCGCGGUAAUAC
rnacentral:rRNA from 1 species